rnacentral:misc_RNA from 1 species
GCAAAAGGUCGGUCUGUAAAAACUGAUUGCAAAAUUAUAGAAACAAAAAUAUAAACCGCUGAUACAAUCCCAUAAAAAAACAUGUUCAUAAUUACCCAUGCCUAGACUUCUUCUAAGACGUAAGACUAGAAUCAUCUGCUGAAUGACAUGGCCGAAUACAACUGCAUGAGAAGCUGAAAUCACCUGAUCUGUGAUGCCGAGCAAAGCAAACCAGAGGCAUCAGCUCCAACAACUGCAAGAUCACA